rnacentral:rRNA from 1 species
UACGAAGGGGGCUAGCGUUGCUCGGAAUCACUGGGCGUAAAGGGCGCGUAGGUGGCGCGACAAGUCAGUGGUGAAAGUUCGACGCUUAACGUCGAAUCGGCCACUGAUACUGUUGGGCUUGAGCACUGUAGAGGCUAAUGGAAUUCCGGGUGUAGCGGUGGAAUGCGUAGAGAUCCGGAAGAACACCGGUGGCGAAGGCGGUUAGCUGGGCAGUUGCUGACACUGAGGCGCGACAGCGUGGGGAGCAAACAGG